GGUUCGACUUGAGCGCCAGCGAGAGAGCGUUGCCGCAGGCAACGACCCGAAGGGCGAAGCGCGCAGCGCUGAGUAAUCCUUCUCCCACCACCA
rnacentral:sRNA from 1 species